rnacentral:rRNA from 1 species
ACGGUAACGCGGGGCAACCUGGCGACGAGUGGCGAACGGGUGAGUAAUGCAUCGGAACGUGCCUGGUAAUGGGGGAUAACUGCUCGAAAGAGCAGCUAAUACCGCAUACGACCUGAGGGUGAAAGGGGGGGAUCGCAAGACCUCCCGUUAUCAGAGCGGCCGAUGUCGGAUUAGCUAGUUGGUGGGGUAAAAGCCCACCAAGGCGACGAUCCGUAGCUGGUCUGAGAGGACGACCAGCCACACUGGGACUGAGACACGGCCCAGACUCCUACGGGAGGCAGCAGUGGGGAAUUUUGGACAAUGGACGCAAGUCUGAUCCAGCCAUGCCGCGUGCGGGAAGAAGGCCUUCGGGUUGUAAACCGCUUUUGUCAGGGAAGAAAUCUUCUAGGCUAAUACCUUGGGAGGAUGACGGUACCUGAAGAAUAAGCACCGGCUAACUACGUGCCAGCAGCCGCGGUAAUACGUAGGGUGCAAGCGUUAAUCGGAAUUACUGGGCGUAAAGCGUGCGCAGGCGGUUAUGCAAGACAGGUGUGAAAUCCCCGAGCUCAACUUGGGAACUGCACUUGUGACUGCAUAGCUAGAGUACGGUAGAGGGGAGUGGAAUUCCGCGUGUAGCAGUGAAAUGCGUAGAUAUGCGGAGGAACACCGAUGGCGAAGGCAGCUCCCUGGACCUGUACUGACGCUCAUGCACGAAAGCGUGGGGGAGCAAACAGGANUANAUACCCUGNNAGUCCACGCCCUAAACGAUGUCAACUGGUUGUUGGGAGGGUUUCUUCUCAGUAACGAAGCUAACGCGUGAAGUUGACCGCCUGGGGAGUACGGCCGCAAGGUUGAACUCANNGAAUUGACGGGGACCCGCACAGCGGUNGAUGA